AUUUGCGCAUCCGCGUUUUCUACUACAUCAUUACAUGCGCGGAUGGGUCGUGCAGGCAUUCCGGAUCAUGUACCGAGUUUAAGUACUAUCUAGAACUAAACUUCAAGCUUUCCUGUAGCUCAGUGCUUAUGGCUAUGAGAGCGAGUGCAGCAGAGCACACCAGUCGAUGAGUCGCGGAGCACUGUUGGAGUAGCAGCGUGUGAGACAGGUCGAUGACCGGCUGCGAGGGACUAUCGUGAGCGAAAGACUACCGUGAGGGCUGAGGAGACGAGUGAAAACUGACGUGGUUCUUCUGCCGUGAAUACAUUGGACUGGAUAGCAGCCCUUGCUGUCCAGGCAUGCUGUCAUUUAGGUGAAUUCUCUGGUGUGUUGCUGCCAGCCUUUUCUCCUGACACCUUUCACAGACCCCCAGGAAGCACAGCAGGCCUACAACCAUGCCCAUGCCAGGACCAGGGCCAGAGUUGAAAUGACCUUUGGCCUCCUGAAGGCACGCUCUCACUGCCUUCACAAAUCAAGGGUCAGCCCUGUUAGGGCAUGUGAUAUUACUGUGGCUUGUGCGGUCCUCCCCAAUGUGGCCUGCCUGAGGAAGGAGAGGGCCCCCAGAGUGCCACCAGCCAUGGAAUGGGACAAUCCGGCAAUCUUCCCUGAUGACGACAGUGGUCGGCUGCUGAGGGACCAAUAUGUGUUGAAUUAUUUUAGUUAGUAUGUGUGCUUUCAAUUUUGGUUAAAUAUGUCCUGCGGUGGCAGAGGAAUUUGGGUUUUCUUGGGUUCGUUUUUUUAAGAAUUUGGCCUCUUAUGAUGUGUGUGCGGUAUACUGUGUGUAAUACAAGGCUGCAGGGAGGCUACUGCAUCCAUUCAUUUGUCUGUUCAGUUGAUGUGUAUGGAUUUGUCCUGCAUUUAUUUUAGUGUGCAGACAUGCAGGGUGUGUUAUAUACAGACCUUUGAAUGUAUAUGUAUCAUUUUGUAUAAUAUGCUUUGAUUCUGUGCUUUCCAUCUUGUAGAGUCACUGUGACUUCAGUUUCAAAAGGAGCUGAUGGUUUACCUGCUUUGUUUUGUCCUUAUUCAAUAAAGGAACAUAAUGUUACACAUUGUGUUUUUAUGUUUAUAUGGAAUGUGUAUUUGUUUAUAUGACAGAGUACUAGGGCCACACUGAGGAAAAAGGAUAAAGUCAUAAAUUUAUGAGGCUGGUUCUUUCUGCAGAAAAGCUACAUAUUCUUUUUACAGUUU